GACGAACGCUGGCGGCGUGCUUAACACAUGCAAGUCGAACGGAAAGGCCCUGCUUUUGUGGGGUGCUCGAGUGGCGAACGGGUGAGUAACACGUGAGUAACCUGCCCUUGACUUUGGGAUAACUUCAGGAAACUGGGGCUAAUACCGGAUAGGAGCUCCUGCUGCAUGGUGGGGGUUGGAAAGUUUCGGCGGUUGGGGAUGGACUCGCGGCUUAUCAGCUUGUUGGCGGGGUAGUGGCUUACCAAGGCUUCGACGGGUAGCCGGCCUGAGAGGGUGACCAGCCACAUUGGGACUGAGAUACGGCCCAGACUCCUACGGGAGGCAGCAGUGGGGAAUAUUGCACAAUGGGCGGAAGCCUGAUGCAGCAACGCCGCGUGCGGGAUGACGGCCUUCGGGUUGUAAACCGCUUUCGCCUGUGACGAAGCGUGAGUGACGGUAAUGGGUAAAGAAGCACCGGCUAACUACGUGCCAGCAGCCGCGGUGAUACGUAGGGUGCGAGCGUUGUCCGGAUUUAUUGGGCGUAAAGGGCUCGUAGGUGGUUGAUCGCGUCGGAAGUGUAAUCUUGGGGCUUAACCCUGAGCGUGCUUUCGAUACGGGUUGACUUGAGGAAGGUAGGGGAGAAUGGAAUCCCUGGUGGAGCGGUGGAAUGCGCAGAUAUCAGGAGGAACACCAGUGGCGAAAGCGGUUCUCUGGGCCUUUCCUGACGCUGAGGAGCGAAAGCGUGGGGAGCGAACAGGCUUAGAUACCCUGGUAGUCCACGCUGUAAACGGUGGGUACUAGGUGUGGGGUCCAUUCCACGGGUUCCGUGCCGUAGCUAACGCUUUAAGUACCCCGCCUGGGGAGUACGGCCGCAAGGCUAAAACUCAAAGGAAUUGACGGGGCCCCGCACAAGCGGCGGAGCAUGCGGAUUAAUUCGAUGCAACGCGUAGAACCUUACCUGGGUUUGACAUGGAUCGGGAGUGCUCAGAGAUGGGUGUGCCUCUUUUGGGGUCGGUUCACAGGUGGUGCAUGCCUGUCGUCAGCUCGUGUCGUGAGAUGUUGGGUUAAGUCCCGCAACGAGCGCAACCCUUGUUCACUGUUGCCAGCACGUUAUGGUGGGGACUCAGUGGAGACCGCCGGGGUCAACUCGGAGGAAGGUGGGGAUGACGUCAAGUCAUCAUGCCCCUUAUGUCCAGGGCUUCACGCAUGCUACAAUGGCUGGUACAGAGAGUGGCGAGCCUGUGAGGGUGAGCGAAUCCCGGAAAGCCGGUCUCAGUUCGGAUUGGGGUCUGCAACUCGACCUCAUGAAGUCGGAGUCGCUAGUAAUCGCAGAUCAGCAACGCUGCGGUGAAUACGUUCCCGGGGCU
rnacentral:rRNA from 1 species